rnacentral:rRNA from 1 species
UACGUAGGGACCAAGCGUUGUUCGGAUUUACUGGGCGUAAAGCGCGCGUAGGCGGACCUGCAAGUCGGGGGUGAAAGCCCGAGGCUUAACCUCGGAACUGCCUUCGAUACUGCGGGUCUCGAGUCCGGGAGAGGUGAGUGGAAUUCCUAGUGUAGAGGUGAAAUUCGUAGAUAUUAGGAAGAACACCAGUGGCGAAGGCGGCUCACUGGCCCGGUACUGACGCUGAGGCGCGAAAGCGUGGGGAGCAAACAGG